rfam:Arabidopsis thaliana chromosome 4, complete sequence.
GAGCUCAUAGCUCAGUGGUAGACUAUUUGACUGCAAAUUUAGAGGUCACCGGUGUGAACCUGGUUGGGCUCU